rnacentral:tRNA from 1 species
CAAAGGGUAGUUUAAUAGAAGACGCCGGUUUUGGGGGCUGGUAAUGAAGAAGUUCUCCUUUGA